CAAUAGCGUAUAUUUAAGUUGUUGCAGUUAAAAAGCUCGUAGUUGGAUUUCGGGUGGGACGCAGCGGUCUCGCAUCGCGUUUGUACUGCUGCAGCCCUCCUUCUUGCCGGGGGCGGCCUCUCGGACUUCACUGUCUGGGGGUCAGAAUCGGCGAUGUUACUUUGAGUAAAUUAGAGUGUUCAAAGCAAGCUUACGCUCUGAAUAUAAUAGCAUGGGAUAACACGACAGGACUCUGGCCUAUCGUGUUGGUCUAUAGGACCAGAGUAAUGAUUAAGAGGGACAGUCGGGGGCAUUCGUAUUCCGUUGUCAGAGGUGAAAUUCUUGGAUUUACGGAAGACGAACAUCUGCGAAAGCAUUUGCCAAGGAUGUUUUCAUUGA
rnacentral:rRNA from 1 species